rnacentral:rRNA from 1 species
GUAGGGCGCAAGCGUUAUCCGGAAUUAUUGGGCGUAAAGAGCUCGUAGGCGGUUUGUCGCGUCUGCCGUGAAAGUCCGGGGCUCAACUCCGGAUCUGCGGUGGGUACGGGCAGACUAGAGUGAUGUAGGGGAGACUGGAAUUCCUGGUGUAGCGGUGAAAUGCGCAGAUAUCAGGAGGAACACCGAUGGCGAAGGCAGGUCUCUGGGCAUUAACUGACGCUGAGGAGCGAAAGCAUGGGGAGCGAGCAGGAUUAGAUACCCUGGUAGUCCAUGCCGUAAACGUUGGGCACUAGGUGUGGGGGACAUUCCACGUUUUCCGCGCCGUAGCUAACGCAUUAAGUGCCCCGCCGGGGGAGUACGGCCGCAAGGCUA